rnacentral:rRNA from 1 species
GAUGAACGCUGGCGGCGCGCCUAACACAUGCAAGUCGAACGGUUAGAGCACCUUCGGGUGGGUAUAAAGUGGCGCACGGCUGAGUAACACGUGAGCAACCCGCCCCUCUCAUUGGGAUAGCCACGGUAAACCGUGGGUAAUACCGAAUACUUCCGGGCUUCCGCAUGGGGGACUCGCGAAAGCUGCGGCGGAGUGGGAUGGUGCCGCGGGCUGUGCGCUUGUUGGUGGGGCAAUGGCCUGCGAAGGCAAUGAUGGGUGGCUGGGGUGAGAGGCCGACCAGCCAGAUUGGGACUGAGACACCGCCCAGACGCCUACGGGAAGCAGCAGUGGGGAAUCUUGCACAAUGGGCGAAAGCCUGAUGCAGCGACGCCGCGUGCGGGAUGAAGGCCUUCGGGUUGUAAACCGCUUUCAGCAGGGACGAAGCGAAAGUGACGGUACCUGCAGAAGAAGCCCCGGCUAACUACGUG